rnacentral:lncRNA from 1 species
ACUAGCAGUCAAAAUUACUCCUUCAUAUUGCUAAUGUUUUGAAUUACAUGGGAGCAGGGAGGCAAGAGUGAUUAGCUGUUGGGGGUGAGCUCCAAAAAAAUUAAAUUCUGCAAGCCAAACCAAACCAAACUUUGUCUCUAAACCAUGCUGAUGAAAUUUGUACCACACCCAACUUCCAUAAGUUUAAGUCUAAGAAGAAUUCCUCCCAAACAAAACCUAUGUUUUACUGGCAUUUCUCUCAGCUCAAGGAAAGACAUUCAUGACCAUCCUGAUACACUCUGAGUUUCAGUGUUUUUUGCUCAUUCCUUACACUCUUAAGUAGACAACUCCCAGAAGUCUCCUUGCUCAUGAAUGGUCAGGGAAAUUUAUGUGCCAUUAUCUCCAGCAUAGUAAGAAAAAUGCUGAAACUACUGAGUAAAAAUGGAUUUGCAAAAAAACAUUUUCCCAUUCAAAGUCCCAAAUGAAAUGAUGGAGGUUGGAGAUACAUAUUAAUCCCCACCCUGAGUCAAACUGCACUUCUUCCAUGACAAUAAUUUUAGCAUCUGUUUUAUUGUAACAAUGGGUUUGACAGUGGCACUUGGCACUUAUUACACUCAGAUUGACAGACUCAACAGCAAUCCUAUUGGAAAUGAGCUAAUUUUAUAUAGUGGGAAGUGCUGCCAAUAUUACUUUUCACAGUCCAAGUGAUUUUUAGUUCAGAUGCUAAUAAAAAAAAAAUCAAUCCACCAGUAUAAAAAGCAAGGUCAAACAAGUAACUGGUCAAGUGUGGAUGAGCCAUUUAGAUGAGAAGGGUACAUUCUCAUUAUCUGAUUAUUUUGUCUACAGAAUCACAAGUAUCCAGACCGGGACUCAAUUGUUCACAGUUCAUUCAUCCUGAUCUAGGGAGUUGUAUUGUACAAGCCAUAGCCUUAAGCAGAUGCAAACCAACAUGAAGCCAUCUUCAUCUACUAAGAGCAUGUUAUUUCUACCUUUGGCCAAGAAACAAUAAUUGGUCUGUAAUGUCAAAAAAUGGAAGGGGGGAACCUGUUUGCAAGCAUUUAAGGAAAAUUCAAUGGAAGGAGAGACAGAAGCAAUAUCGUCAAGGAAUUAUACUAUAUACCACCUGGAACGAAAGAGGAAAUAUUCAACUGAAGUUAGGAAAUUAAUAAGAAAUGUGGAGGGAGAGAGGGGAAUUUCAUUUAUCUGAACAGCUAAAGGCAGAGAAACUAAUAAAUUCUUAGCUUCUUUUCA